rnacentral:rRNA from 1 species
AGCGAACGCUGGCGGUAGGCCUAACACAUGCAAGUCGAACGGCAGCACAGUAAGAGCUUGCUCUUACGGGUGGCGAGUGGCGGACGGGAGAGGAAUACAUCGGAAUCUACUUUUUUGUGGGGGAUAACGUAGGGAAACUUACGCUAAUACCGCAUACGACCUACGGGUGAAAGCAGGGGAUCUUCGGACCUUGCGCGAUUGAAUGAGCCGAUGUGGGAUUAGCUAGUUGGCGGGGUAAAGGCCAACUCAGGCGACGAUCCGCAGCUGGACUGAGAGAAUGGUCGGCCACACGAGAAGUGAGACACGGUCCAGACGCCUACGGGAGGGAGCAGUGUGGAAUGUUGGGCAAUGGGCGGAAGCCUUGUCCAGCCAGACCGCGUGUGUGAAGAAGGCCUUCGGGUUGUAAAGCCCUUUUGUUGGGAGAGAAAAGCAGCAGGUUAUUACCACGCUGUUCUGACGGUACCCAAAGAAUAAGCACCGGCUAACUUCGUG